rnacentral:tRNA from 1 species
GAAGAGAUGGCCGAGUGGCUUAAGGCAACGGUUUGCUAAAUCGUCAUACAACAACUUAUGUAGUAUCGUAGGUUCGAAUCCUACUCUCUUUA